AGGUUAAUAUUUUUAUUAGAUAAACGAGUAACUUUAAGUAACUUAAUUUUUUUGUCCAACUCGGACUAUUUUUUUUAGAGUAACAUCUUAUCAUUAAAAUCGAUUACGUACAAGCUCACCUAAACCAAGGAUCGAAACAAUCUCGGAUCAUCUGGUCCACCCUUUACACCCAACCUAUGGUCCAAUCUAGGUGAGAAGCCCAGGGCAACAACAAGCCCGUACCAAAAAAGAGGAUAGAAUAGAUUCAUAAAAAUAAAUGAACCGAAGCCAGCUUCAAACCGUCUCGAGCGGAUUAAAGAAACUGGUGCCUGUUUGCAAAACCAGUUGCGAAACCCAUACUCUGGUUGACUGAUCGUUAAUCUUCCUGACACAAGCCCUAUGCAUCUGUUUGCAACACUUCCAAAAGCCCCCUCCCCGACUUGAGCAGCAUAGCCUUGCUGCCUUUCCUUUGUCGUCAUGUUCUGCGAAAAUGGGGGUAAUCCUCAACCCAGUAAGCAUCCUUAUCAGAACGGAGACCCUGCGCACCGAGAAGAUGAGAUGCUUCGUUCCCCGAUCGGUGCGUGUGCACGAAUAGACAUUCCUAAAAGCCCAUCGCUAGGACCUUACCUUCUUCAAUCAAAGGGCAACCACAGACACGUCCAACUCAGUGGAGUCGAGCUUGUGAAUAAUCGAAAGAGCGUCUCCCUCCACCAAGAUACGCUGUAGACUAAGAUCUGCCGCAAAGCGAAAUGCAGCUACGCCCGCAACAGCCUUUGCCAUAAAGGAAUCCAUGAGGUAAGGGGCCCUCACCAUGCAAGCACCUAUUACAUACCCCUCCGAAUCUCUAAUAAUGACACCAAUACUACAUCUGCCUUGCGAACUUAGGAAAGCCACAUCAAAGUUAACCUUGUAAAACUAGCCAAGAGGAGGAAGCCAGCGAACCGCCGGCACCAUCGUGCUAAUAGAGCUCAAGCGAACAUUUAGAGACUCCUGUUCUCGAAGGUGAGUAUUGAUAAGCUGAAUAAUCUGGGCUGUUGUAGAAGUCACAUGUUCAUACACGGAUUUAUUUCGAGCACGACACAACGAAAGAGAUUUGCUUCCAAUGAGUUGCCUGCCUUGCAUAACUUACUAGUGAAAUUGUGAUGCAAGGUGUGCCCUCUUGCAAUGAGAUGCCACUGUACUGCCAGAAGGGAGAAAUUUCAGCACAGUCCAAAAAAUUAUGAGCAAAGCCUCAACACCCGAAGCAGAGCAUCUAGGACGUAUUGGUGAUGCUGAGAGAUGCCUGUAGUGUAAAUUGCUUUAGGUGGGAAUGAAUUUAUUGCAGAUCCACCAAUCAGUCAACUUCAUCUUAAUAUCGAAUGAAAUGAUUAAUUGGGGCUAAUUCAAUCACUUGGCCUGCUUUGUGAAUAUGUGAAAAAAACCCAUAUAUUUAAUUCUUGGUGGUCAAGUGAAGCAAAUGGAAUUUAGAACAACCAUAGGAAUACUAAUAUUAGAAUAUAUAUAAUUUAAUUAUAUUUGAU
rnacentral:lncRNA from 1 species